AUGUUUAAAGAUUCCUAUGUAAAACAUGGUGUUGAUCAUGAGGUAACUGCUCCUUAUACACCUCAACAUAAUGGAAUUGUUGAAAGAAGAAACAAAACCAUAUUAGAUAUGGAGAGAUGCUUGCUGAAGCAAAACAAUUUGCCAAAGUCUUUAUGGGGAGAAGCUGUUUCGUCUACAAUUUAUAUUUUGAAUAGGUGUCCUACCAAGAUAUUGAAGAACAAAGUUCAUGAAGAAGUAUGGAGUGACAAAAGACCACCAGUGAGUCAUUUGAAGGUGUUUGGCUCUAUGUGUUAUAAGCAUGUUCCUGAUGCAAGAAGAAUGAAGCUUGAUGACAAGAGUGAACCUAUGACUCUGAUAGGAUAUCAUAAAACUGGUGCAUAUAGACUAUUUAAUCCAGUUAAUGAGAAUAUUGUGUUGAGUCGAGAUAUUGUGAUUAAUGAAAAUUUUGCCUGGGAUUGGAAUUCUAGCAAUUCAAUUAACAAGCCAUUGAUGAGCUCUGAUGUCGAUGAAGAAACUUAUGAAGUAGAGGUCGAAGGAAUUAUUGAGAAUCUAGUCGAAGUCGAAGAAGAAGCAGUUGCUGACAUUUCCAACACAAUCGAAGUCGAAGAGGAUGUGGAUGAAACAAGC